rnacentral:tRNA from 1 species
GAGGUUGUGGCUCAGUGGUAGGGCAUUCACCUAGCGUGUGUGAGACUGGGUUCGAUCUACAGCACCACA